UGUGAAUUUUUGCUGCGGUGUUA
rnacentral:miRNA from 14 species